GUAUCACAUUGAAACACCGGGUUCCGCAUGAUCUCCGUAGUUAAGCAAUGUCGAGCCGGGUCAGUAUCUAGAUGGGUAACCGAUUAGGAAUACCAGGGGCUGUAA